rnacentral:rRNA from 1 species
GCUAGCGUUGUUCGGAAUUACUGGGCGUAAAGCGCACGCAGGCGGCGCAUUAAGUCAGGGGUGAAAGGCCUGGGCUCAACCCAGGAACUGCCUUUGAGACUGAUGCGCUCGAGUCCGGAAGAGGGUAGUGGAAUUUCCAGUGUAGAGGUGAAAUUCGUAGAUACUGGAAAGAACACCGGUGGCGAAGGCGGCUACCUGGUCCGGUACUGACGCUCAAGUGCGAAAGCGUGGGGAGCAAACAGGAUUGGAUACCCUGGUAGUCCACGCCGUAAACGAUGAGUGCUAGAUGUCGGGAGGUUUACCUCUCGGUGUCGGAGCUAACGCGUUAAGCACUCCGCCUGGGGAGUCCGACCGCAAGGUUAAAACUCAAAGGAAUUGACGGGGGCCCGCACAAGCGGUGGAGCAUGUGGUU